GGGCGUCGUGGUAUUGCUCCGUGUAGACAGGAUCUUCGAGAAUUAGUGAGAUGACUUCUAGUGAUAUCUUGUUUGGUGAAGUAGGUGCAGCUGAGCCGUCCACAAAUGAACAUACUGAUGACUAUGUCCACAUUUUUCAUGCCAUCCACAAGUUCCAUUCAAACGGUAAUCUUUACCAAACUUGUAGUUUUUAUCCACAAAGAAAAUUUUCGAUCCACACAACAAAUGUCCAUACAUCAUUUGUCUGUCCACAUUUGAGUAUCCACAAUUGUAAUUUUCAUUAAGGGUAAAAUGGUCCAUAAUUUAUCUCUGGCCCACAACAAAAUGUGUCACAUGUAAGAAGUGUCUCUAGAUGUAAAGGAAAGUCAAAAAGUG
rnacentral:lncRNA from 1 species